UAUUAAGUCUUUUGAAUUUCAACAAGCUAAAUGAAGGACUGAUAACAUUGGUUUAGUUAGACCAAAUAAUAUUAAAUGCAGUCUCAAACUAAAUUUUUAAUAGCAAGUUCCAAUGACAAUGGGAUAGAGAAGGAAACGCCGGUAACAUGGCAAUUAGGUUGGGUAGGUCCACCAUGUGUUGAGAAACGAUGAAUCCACCAACUGAGAUUUUUUUUAAUAUAUGCUACAGAAUGCCCUAUGCUGUUUCCUUCAUUCUGCUAUGGUGCCAAUUUUGCAUGACUUUUUCAAGAACAUGUCUGAGCAUGUAUCUUUCAAGAAGGUUAGCAACAAUACCAAAAAGUGAAAAGCUGAGACUUGCAGAAGAGAUGAUAACAUCAAAGGAUGGCACAUCAUAAACUGGAGAAGCAUUGGCCACAAGGGGGCCUAUCCUGCCCGCAGCCGAUGCCUCCACCUGUAGCGUGCUGGGCUCACGCAGCUCCGCCUUGGCAAGGCCCAUAACCUGCUCGAAGCUGCGCGACACCUCGAUGAGUGACGGGUCAGCUGCACCCGCGCACCCUCACAGCAGGGCCCGUUUCUACUUUAGAGGUUGGUCAGUGCGAAAUCCGAUAUAGAGGCCCUAUCUCUAUAUAGGCCAGUGUGAAAUCCGAUAUAGAGACUAUAUAUAUAUAUAUAUAUAUAUAUAUAUAUAUAUAUAUAUAUAUAUAUAUAUAUAUAUAUAUAUAUAUAUAUAGUAUUAGGAGCCCUGGGCUCUCUCUAAUUAGAGAAAGCCCUGACCCCCACUCAAUCGGUCGACCUAACAUCAUCUUUACGCUUUGUUGUACAUAAGUUUACGCUUAUUUUGCUAUAACACCAUCGUAUAAAACGGAUCACACUAUCCAACCUUCCCGACGGCGGCUGUUUGCAAGAAAAAUAGGGUUUUAGUGGCGGCAGUUUUACCUCCACUCACGCUGCCAUCGCCUCCGAGCCCCACUCCCCGAUCCAGACAACCACCCCACACAGAUCCGGAUCCACCUAGCGCAGCACGGCCGUGGCUACCAGAUCUCACGGCCUCCGCUUCUCCUUUCUUUUAUGCAGGCGCCGGCGGGGAGAGGGAGCUGCCGAGCAACGGGUCGCCGCCGGUGGUGGAUGAUGCCGGCGUCCAGGUUGCGGCCGUACUACAGAAGGGUCGUUCCGGACGAUUCAGCACAGCAAGAUCCGCACGCGCAGGGCCUCCGCGACUGCCGGAUGCGGCUCUCGGUCGGGGUCGCGCGAGAGUUCUUGGCGCUGCAGGACCGCCUCGGGUUCGACAAGGCCAGCAAGACCCUGAACUGGCUCCUCGCCCAGUCCAAGCCGCCCAUCGACUGCCUCGUCGACGCCGCCGACCAGGUGGCUGUAGUCACUGGAGGACGACCGACGCUGAUGAAGGGGAGAGAGCAGGGGAGCAACUCAAGCACUUGUUGUUUGACAGACUCGAGGUAGGAGCUAGCCACGGAAAGGGAAGAAGCAGAGGCAGUGACAACGGUUUUGAUUGGCCACCGCCUCUUAUUGAAGAACACAGCUGCGGCGAGCUGGGAUGGAUCAAGCACUUGCGUGAGAGUUCUUCGCGCAGAGCUGGAGUGCUACUUCCAGUAUUGCUUGCAGCUCGAGGAGUUGAUGAGAUGCAACGGCAAAAUGCCAAGGUGAUUUCUUGUAUGCUAUGCAAACAUGCAUAAAACAUUGUAUAUAGGUGAUUCCCAUUACGUAAUUAGGCUAUAUGGUUCGUUGCUAGCUACAUAGUACAAAUAAAUCAACUGGGUUCUCUAUAAAUCAAUAGUCAUGAGCCUGGGGUUGUGUUAUCCACUUUUGGUUAAUGACAAGUAAUAAUCUUAUCAUAAUUAGCUAGUGUUGUUUGUCAAUUUUUCAUAUAUACUCGUGCUAAUGAUAUUUGUU